rnacentral:misc_RNA from 1 species
CCAGCCACUUCACCAGGAUGACAUAUUACCAAUAAACUCCAAUGAAGAUUGAAAUUUACAGGGACGAAAACAUAGUCUUUUCCAAACAUGUCCACUUUCCUUGUCCAUUUAUGAACACGUAAAAAAGCAGCCCUACCAUCUGAAGCACUGGAUGGAUCUUUGUCUAGAUCCGCAAGCUUCCGAAAGAAAAAGCUAUUAAAAAAAUGGAACCUAUGCUUCUCGUCAGGUGGAAUCUGAUUCUUUAAAUACUUGAUAUAAAAGUCAAUAAUUGUAUCAUUGAUAAAUUUCUCAGGUUGUAGUAGAUCAAAAUCUCUCUUGCUAAUGGAAACUGCAUCUGAAUCCCCCUUCGGAUAGACAACAUCUUCAACAGCCUCAUCAAAAAUCGGAAAAUAAGGCCUCUGUCGAAGCAAGUCAGAUCUUUCAUCCAUUGAGACAUUCUCAUGCACCAUGGCAGAUAAAGCUAAAUAUUUAAUAUUCAGAGAUGCAAUCUCCUCCAAUUUCCCAGACCAGUUGGGCUCAUAAAUUGCAAACUCCAGCUGCUCAACCCCAUAGGCAUUAGUUGAUUGUGCAGCAUCCUUCGAUAGUAAGUGGAGCUUAACAGUGACGGUUCCAAACCUUUGAAGAUGCUGAGACUCAAUACGAAUAAUAUCAUCAAUUCCCCUUUCAAAUCUAAAGGUUCCAUCGUCUCCAUAUGCAGGCAUACCACUGAUUUUAAUUCCAUCACAAGAAAAAGUUACCAGGCACCCGGUACAGUAAUUAUCCCGAUAUACAACAUAAUCAACUGCAAUAUUUAUGAUAUCCAUCUCUGAUGCGCUGAAAUAAUUGUUUGAUGAGUGGCCAUUUAAAAUAGCAUUCUCUGCAAUAUCAGAAGCAGGAGUUGAUGGAGAACUCUCGUUCAUGCUAGCAUCAGCAUCUGAUUUUACAUUGAACACUGGUCCACUGUGAGAAGGAGAGGCCGCAAGGGCACAAUUAGAUUGGCUUUUCCGAGGUGACAGUGCUUCAUUGUAUGAAACCCUUCCCUCCUGUUCAAUAAAAGAGCUUUUGGAUUCAUUAUUAUCCAUCUUUGAACAAGAGUCUUUUUCAUGACUCAGAGAUUCUGACUGGUAAGCCCCAUCUCGGUUGUCUUCUUUGGUGGUAGAGUCGUCUCUAACCGCUUCCAAAGGGGAGUAUGCAGUAGCACUGUAAGAACUAUUGCCAUAUUCAAUUGCAUCAACAUCUAUACAAGUUAUGGUGCCACUUUCCUUUUUUACAGCAGCAGAUCCCUGGGCAACGCAUUCGAGGAAGUCGCACUUCAAAAAAGCGGGAUUGUCAAGGCUAGGGUUUUUGAACUUGCGGAGGAUUUUACCAGCUGCAUAUUCAGCGAGCUCGUCCUCUUCCUUGAAAUCGAAGACCUCGAGUCCACUCUUCAUCGCGAAGAGAUGAGCGAGUGAACAACUCAGAUUCAGCCAGCAAGACUCGGACAGAGAAAAAGCAGGAGGAAGACUCGCUGAGUUGACAUGUACGGCUUUAUAUGUUUGUUGAUGAUCCAACGAGGGAGAGAGUCAGAAAG